rnacentral:lncRNA from 1 species
AUGAGGAUGUUCCAGUGGUCUGAGGAGUUGGUGCCAGUUGGUCUCUAUGAUUGUGAGGAUACCUUGAGGAGUUGGUCCAGUUGGUCUGAUGUGAUUAAUGAGGAGUUGGUCCAGUUGGUCUGAUGUGAUUAAUGAGGAGUUGGUCCAGUUGGUCUGAUGUGAUUAAUGAGGAGUUGGUCCAGUUGGUCUGAUGUGAUUAAUGAGGAGCAUCCAGGACUGAGAGUUGGUCCAGUUGGAUCUGAUGGAUUAAAUGAGAGAGUAUCCAGACGGCUGCACUUGAUGAAUUUAUGGAAUUGCUUCUUCCAACUAUUACCAAACAUGCACCUGUUAAUAAUAUAGAAGAAAGAACUGUUCAGGCUGUUAUUAAUAACUUUCAGGCACCACGGAUUGACAAGGAAUUGAAAUGGUUGACAGGGAUGGGCUCAUUGAAGGUCCCAAGUUGACAGGUUCAUGUCAGAGAAAAAACCAAGACCACGAGGUCAAAGGACUUGUCCG